UCCACGCCGUAAACGAUGGAUACUAGCUGUUCGAACUUCGGUUUGAGUGGCUAAGCGAAAGUGAUAAGUAUCCCACCUGGGGAGUACGUUCGCAAGAAUGAAACUCAAAGGAAUUGACGGGGGCCCGCACAAGCGGUGGAGCAUGUGGUUUAAUUCGAUGAUACGCGAGGAACCUUACCAGGGCUUAAAUGUAAGUUGCAUAGAUCAGAGAUGGUCUUUUCUUCGGACUACUU
rnacentral:rRNA from 1 species